rnacentral:rRNA from 1 species
AUUGAACGCUAGCGGGAUGCCUUACACAUGCAAGUCGAACGGAGUGGCGAACGGGUGAGUAAUGUAUCGGAAUGUGCCCAGUAGCGGGGGAUAACUUCCGGAAAGCGUCGCUAAUACCGCAUACUAUCAGAGGGGCCUAUGUCGGAUUAGCUAGUUGGUGGGGUAACGGCUCACCAAGGCGACGAUCCGUAGCUGGUUUGAGAGGACGACCAGGCACACUGGGACUGAGACACGGCCCAGACUCCUACGGGAGGCAGCAGUGGGGAAUUUUGGACAAUGGGGGAAACCCUGAUCCAGCCAUCCCGCGUGUGCGAUGAAGGCCUUCGGAUUGUAAAGCACUUUUGGCAGGGAAGCGUUACCUGCAGAAUAAGCACCGGCUAACUACGUGCCAGCAGCCGCGGUAAUAC